rnacentral:rRNA from 1 species
AUUGAACGCUGGCGGCAGGCCUAACACAUGCAAGUCGAACGAGUGGCGGACGGGUGAGUAAUGUCUGGGAAACUGCCUGAUGGCGGGGGAUAACUACUGGAAACGGUAGCUAAUACCGAUUACCAUCGGAUGAGCCCAGAGGGGAUUAGGUAGUAGGUGGGGUAAAGGGUAACCAAGGCGACGAUCCCUAGCUGGCCUGAGAGGAUGACCAGCCACACUGGAAAUGAGACACGGUCCAGACUCCUACGGGAGGCAGCAGUGGGGAAUAUUGCGCAAUGGGGGCAAGCCUGAUGCAGCCAUGCCGCGUGUAUGAAGAAGGCCUUCGGGUUGUAAAGUUCUUUCAGCAGGGAGGCGUUACCCACAGAAGAAGCACCGGCUAACUCCGUGCCAGCAGCCGCGGUAAUAC